AGUCGAGCGCGAAAGCUCCUUCGGGAGCCGGUAGAGCGGGAAAGGGCGAGGAAUACAUCCUACGUACCCCGAGGUCGGGGAUAGCCCAGGGAAACCUGGAUUAAUACCCGAUGUGGUCUGAAAAGAUCAAAGGCUUGCCGCCUCGGGAGCGGGGAAUGUCCUAUCAGGUUGUUGGUGGGGUAACGGCCUACCAAGCCAGAGACGGGUAGCGGGUGUGAGAGCAUGACCCGCCGCAUCGGGACUGAGACACUGCCCGGACUCCUACGGGAGGCUGCAGUAACGAAUCUUCCGCAAUGCGCGAAAGCGUGACGGAGCAAUGCCGCGUGCAGGAUGAAGCCCUUCGGGGUGUAAACUGCUGUCAGGGUUCAGCAACCCAAUGAGCAGACCCAAAGGAAGGACCGGCUAAGUUCGUGCCAGCAGCCGCGGUAAUACGAACGGUCCGAGCGUUGCGCGGAAUCACUGGGCUUAAAGCGUACGUAGGCGGACGUGCAGGCGCUUUGUGAAAGCCCUCGGCUCAACCGAGGAAUCGCUUGGCGAACCGCGCGUCUCGAGGCAAGUAGGGGCUGUCGGAACGAUAGGUGGAGUGGUGAAAUGCGUUGAUAUCUAUCGGAACGCCGAAGGAGAAAUCAGGCAGCUGGGCUUGUCCUGACGCUGAGGUACGAAAGCGUGGGGAGCGAACGGGAUUAGAUACCCCGGUAAUCCACGCCGUAAACGAUGUGCACUAGAUCGAGGGGGUUCUGACACCGCUCUCGGUCGAAGCGAAAGUGUUAAGUGCACCGCCUGGGGAGUACGGUCGCAA
rnacentral:rRNA from 1 species